GAAAUGCGAUAAGUAAUGUGAAUUGCAGAAUUCAGUGAAUCAUCGAAUCUUUGAACGCACAUUGCGCCCGCCAGUAUUCUGGCGGGCAUGCCUGUUCGAGCGUCAUUUCAACCAUCAAGCCCCCGGCUUGUGUUGGGGACCUGCGGCUGCCCGCAGGCCCUGAAAACCAGUGGUGGGCUCGCUGUCACACCGAGCGUAGUAGCAUACAUCUCGCUCAGGGCGUGCUGCGGGUUCCGGCCGUUAAAAGCCUUUUUUUACCCAAGGUUGACCUCGGAUCAGGUAGGAAGACCCGCUGAACUUAAGC
rnacentral:misc_RNA from 1 species